rnacentral:rRNA from 1 species
GAUCAUGGCUCAGAGCGAACGCUGGCGGCAGGCCUAACACAUGCAAGUCGAGCGGCCGUAGCAAUACGUCAGCGGCAGACGGGUGAGUAACACGUGGGAACGCGCCCUUCGGUUCGGAAUAACUCAGGGAAACUUGGGCUAAUACCGGAUACGCCCUUACGGGGAAAGAUUUAUUGCCGAAGGAACGGCCCGCGUCCGAUUAGCUUGUUGGUGAGGUAACGGCUCACCAAGGCGACGAUCGGUAGCUGGUCUGAGAGGAUGACCAGCCUCACUGGGACUGAGACACGGCCCAGACUCCUACGGGAGGCAGCAGUGGGGAAUAUUGGACAAUGGGCGCAAGCCUGAUCCAGCCAUGCCGCGUGGGUGAUGAAGGCCCUAGGGUUGUAAAGCCCUUUCAGCGGGGAAGAUAAUGACGGUACCCGCAGAAGAAGCCCCGGCUAAUUACAGUGC